rnacentral:rRNA from 1 species
CAAUACCGCGAGGUGGAGCAAAUCCCUAAAAGCCGUCUCAGUUCGGAUUGCAGGCUGCAACUCGCCUGCAUGAAGCUGGAAUUGCUAGUAAUCGCGGAUCAGCAUGCCGCGGUGAAUACGUUCCCGGGCCUUGUACACACCGCCCGUCACACCAUGAGAGUCGGGAACACCCGAAGUCCGUAGUCUAACCGCAAGGAGGGCGCGGCCGAAGGUGGGUCCGGUAAUUGGGGUGAAGUCGUAACAAGGUAAC